rnacentral:rRNA from 1 species
AGAGUUUGAUCAUGGCUCAGGAUGAACGCUGGCGGUGUGCCUAAUACAUGCAAGUCGUGCGGAAAGGCUCUUCGGAGUACUCGAGCGGCGGACGGCUGAGUAACGCGUGGGAACGUGCCCCAAAGUGAGGGAUAACUACUCGAAAGAGUGGCUAAUACCGCAUAUGGUCUUCGGAUUAAAGCUUCGGCGCUUUGGGAGCGGCCUGCGUACGAUUAGAUUGUUGGUGAGGUAAAGGCUCACCAAGUCGACGAUCGUUAGCUGGUCUGAGAGGAUGAUCAGCCAGACUGGAACUGAGACACGGUCCAGACUCCUACGGGAGGCAGCAGUGAGGAAUCUUCCACAAUGGACGAAAGUCUGAUGGAGCAACUCCGCGUGCAGGAUGAAGGCCUUCGGGUUGUAAACUGCUUUUAUUUGUGAAGAAUAUGACGGUAACAAAUGAAUAAGGGUCGGCUAACUACGUGCCAGCAGCCGCGGUCAUACGUAGGACCCAAGCGUUAUCCGGAGUGACUGGGCGUAAAGAGUUGCGUAGGCGGUUUAUUAAGUGAAUAGUGAAAUCUGGUGGCUCAACCACGCAGCUAUUAUUCAAACUGGUAAACUCGAGAAUGGUAGAGGUAACUGGAAU